rnacentral:pre_miRNA from 1 species
AAUAGAAUUGCUAGGUUACAUGGUAACUACAUAUUUAAGUUUCUAAGGAAUUGACAGACUUUUCCAAUAUGGCUGUACCAUUUUAUAGUCCUACUAACAAU